rnacentral:rRNA from 1 species
GUGCACCAGGCGAGAAACCUCCGCAAUGCGGGAAACCGCGACGGGGGACCCCGAGUGCCGUGGCAAUGCUACGGCUUUUCCGGAGUGUAAAAAGCUCCGGGAAUAAGGGCUGGGCAAGGCCGGUGGCAGCCGCCGCGGUAAUACCGGCGGCCCGAGUGGUGGCCGCUAUUAUUGGGCCUAAAGCGUCCGUAGCCGGGCCCGUAAGUCCCUGGCGAAAUCCCACGGCUCAACCGUGGGGCUUGCUGGGGAUACUGCGGGUCUUGGGACCGGGAGAGGCGAGGGGUACCCCCUGGGGUAGGGGUGAAAUCCUAUAAUCCCAGGGGGACCGCCAGUGGCGAAGGCGCCCCGGCUGGAACGGGUCCGACGGUGAGGGACGAAGGCCAGGGGAGCAAACCGGGAUUAGAUACCCCGUGUA